AUUGAACGCUGGCGGCAUGCUUCACACAUGCAAGUCGAACGGUAACAGGUUAAGCUGACGAGUGGCGAACGGGUGAGUAAUGCAUCGGAACGUGCCCGGUCGUGGGGGAUAACACUUCGAAAGAAGUGCUAAUACCGCAUACGAUCUGAGGAUGAAAGCGGGGGACCGUAAGGCCUCGCGCGAUCGGAGCGGCCGAUGUCAGAUUAGGUAGUUGGUGGGGUAAAGGCUCACCAAGCCGACGAUCUGUAGCUGGUCUGAGAGGACGACCAGCCCCACGGGGACUGAGACACGGGCCAGGCUCCGACGAGAGGCAGCAGUGGGGAAUUUUGGACAAUGGGCGCAAGCCUGAUCCAACAAUGCCUGGUGCAGGAAGAAGGCCUUCGGGUUGUAAACUGCUUUUGGACGGAGCGAAAAGGCUCUCUCUAAUACAGGGGGCUCAUGACGGUACCGUAAGAAUAAGCACCGGCUAACUACGUGCCAGCCGCCGCCGUAA
rnacentral:rRNA from 1 species